ensembl:lncRNA
CUGUGUGUCAAGGAAGUAGAGCUCCCUAAAUAUUGAGGCACAAACAGAUCUAAGUGCAUCACAGAAGAAGCAGAAUUCCAGGUUGGGCUAGAGUUUGAGGAUAAAGUGAGUAAGGCAUGUUUCCCCCCGCCCCGCCCCCCUCCGAAAUUAGCUUCCCAUUCAAAUACUGGAAAUGAGGACAUAGUUUAGUCGACAGCACUCCACUUAUUAUUCUGUUACCCUGAUUGGAAGAUUUAAUCUGUGCAAGCUUCAGAUUUACUUAUGAAAUGAGGAAGCACAGCUAACCAUUUGGCUGAACAUGUGUUUCGCGGCAUACCUUGGGUAAGAGGAAAGACUGGAUCCAACAUUUAGGUUUAUCAACAAAUAAAUGCAAGACUGAUGACAUCUCAUAUCAUGCGGCUGGGGCAGGAACGGCCGGCGC